GCGUUAUCCGGAUUCACUGGGUUUAAAGGGUGCGUAGGUGGGAAUGUAAGUCAGUGGUGAAAUCUCUGAGCUUAACUCAGAAACUGCCAUUGAUACUAUGUUUCUUGAAUUUUCUGGAGGUCAGCGGAAUAUGUCAUGUAGCGGUGAAAUGCGUAGAUAUGACAUAGAACACCAAUUGCGAAGGCAGCUGGCUAGAGCGUUACUGACACUGAGGCACGAAAGCGUG
rnacentral:rRNA from 1 species